rnacentral:siRNA from 1 species
AUUAUCACAUGCACAUUUGUGGAC